UACCUGGGCCCCUAGUGGUGACCGCUAUUUUUGGGUUUAAAGCGUUCGUAGCCGGCUUGUUAAGUCCUUAGUGAAAUCUGGCAGCUAACUGUCAGAAUUGCUGGGGAUACUGGCAGGCUCGAGACCGGGAGAGGUAGAGGGUAUUCUUGGGGUAAGGGUAAAAUCUUAUAAUCCCAAGAGGACCACCUGAUGGCUUGACCGCGGAUGCGGUCCAGUCAGGUGAAUGGCGAAGGCGCUCUACUAGA
rnacentral:rRNA from 1 species